CCUACGGGAGGCAGCAGUGGGGAAUUUUGGACAAUGGGCGAAAGCCUGAUCCAGCCAUACCGCGUGCGGGAAGAAGGCCUUCGGGUUGUAAACCGCUUUUGUCAGGGAAGAAAUGCUUCGGGCUAAUACCCUGGGGUGAUGACGGUACCUGAAGAAUAAGCACCGGCUAACUACGUGCCAGCAGCCGCGGUAAUACGUAGGGUGCAAGCGUUAAUCGGAAUUACUGGGCGUAAAGCGUGCGCAGGCGGUUCUAUAAGACAGAUGUGAAAUCCCCGGGCUCAACCUGGGAACUGCAUUUGUGACUGUAGAGCUAGAGUACGGUAGAGGGGGAUGGAAUUCCGCGUGUAGCAGUGAAAUGCGUAGAUAUGCGGAGGAACACCGAUGGCGAAGGCAAUCCCCUGGACCUGUACUGACGCUCAUGCACGAAAGCGUGGGGAGCAAACAGGAUUAGAUACCCUGGUAGUCCACGCCCUAAACGAUGUCAACUGGUUGUUGGGAGGGUUUCUUCUCAGUAACGAAGCUAACGCGUGAAGUUGACCGCCUGGGGAGACGGCGCGAGUAAGUAAGUAAAGUUAAGUUAGUAGCGUUGAGACGNGCGAGGACGACGACGAGGGAGAGG
rnacentral:rRNA from 1 species